rnacentral:rRNA from 1 species
CCCUUAGAUGUUCUGGGCUGCACGCGCGCUACACUGAUGCGCUCAACGAGUUUUAACCUUGCCUGGAAAGGUUGGGUAAUCUUUUUAAAACGCAUCGUGAUGGGGAUAGAUUAUUGCAAUUAUUAAUCUUCAACGAGGAAUUCCUAGUAAGCGCGAGUCAUCAGCUCGUGCUGAUUACGUCCCUGCCCUUUGUACACACCGCCCGUCGCUCCUACCAAUAGGUGAUCCGGUGAAUGACUCGGACUCUGGAAUUAGCUAUUUAUAGCUUUUAUCCGGAGGAAGUUUUGUGAACCUUAUCACUUGGAGGAAGGAGAAGUCGUAACA